rnacentral:rRNA from 1 species
GACGAACGCUGGCGGCGUGCUUAACACAUGCAAGUCGAACGCUGAAGCUCAGCUUUUGUUGGGUGGAUGAGUGGCGAACGGGUGAGUAACACGUGAGUAACCUGCCCCCUUCUUUGGGAUAACGCCCGGAAACGGGUGCUAAUACUGGAUAUUCACUGGUCUUCGCAUGGGGGUUGGUGGAAAGGGUUUUUCUGGUGGGGGAUGGGCUCGCGGCCUAUCAGCUUGUUGGUGGGGUGAUGGCCUACCAAGGCUUUGACGGGUAGCCGGCCUGAGAGGGUGACCGGUCACAUUGGGACUGAGAUACGGCCCAGACUCCUACGGGAGGCAGCAGUGGGGAAUAUUGCACAAUGGGCGCAAGCCUGAUGCAGCGACGCCGCAUGAGGGAUGGAGGCCUUCGGGUUGUGAACCUCUUUCGCUCAUGGUCAAGCCGCAACAAUGGUUGUGGUGAGGGUAGUGGGUAAAGAAGCGCCGGCUAACUACGUG